rnacentral:rRNA from 1 species
GAUGAACGCUGGCGGCGUGCCUAAUACAUGCAAGUCGAGCGAACGGACGAGAAGCUUGCUUCUCUGAUGUUAGCGGCGGACGGGUGAGUAACACGUGGAUAACCUACCUAUAAGACUGGGAUAACUUCGGGAAACCGGAGCUAAUACCGGAUGAUAUUUUGAACCGCAUGGUUCAAAAGUGAAAGACGGUCUUGCUGUCACUUAUAGAUGGAUCCGCGCUGCAUUAGCUAGUUGGUAAGGUAAUGGCUUACCAAGGCAACGAUGCAUAGCCGACCUGAGAGGGUGAUCGGCCACACUGGAACGGAGACACGGUCCAGACUCCUACGGGAGGCAGCAGUAGGGAAUCUUCCGCAAUGGGCGAAAGCCUGACGGAGCAACGCCGCGUGAGUGAUGAAGGUCUUCGGAUCGUAAAACUCUGUUAUUAGGGAAGAACAUAUGUGUAAGUAACUGUGCACAUCUUGACGGUACCUAAUCAGAAAGCCACGGCUAACUACGUG